rnacentral:lncRNA from 1 species
AGCCUAUGCCACAGCCACAGCAAUGCCAGAUCCAAGCUGCAUCUGUGACCUAUGCUGCAGCUUACAGCAACGCUGGAUCCUUUACCUACUGAGUGUGGCCAGGUAUCGAACCCGAAACCUCAUGGACACUGUGUUGGGUUCCUAGCCCGCUGAGUCACAAUGGGAACGCCAUGUGUCGCUAUUUUCAACUGAUUCUUUCUACUAGUACAUAUUCUAACCAGCUAUUUUAUGGAGGCUAUUGAUUUUUGCACACUAAUUUCAUAUGCCGGUACUUCACUGAAUUUUGUUUAUAGUAAUUGUUCAGGUAUUAGUUUUUGAGCCAAGAUUGAUAUUCUUUAUCAUGUUAGAAAAAUAUCCAUGCAUUCUGAUUUUGAGUGUGUACUUUUCAAAAUCAAGAAUGACUGUUGAAUUUUGACACAUUUUCAUUUCAAGAUCCAUGGAGAUGAUCAAUCAUAUGACUGUUUUACCUUUCUCUAAGUAUAAUGACUUUUAUCAAUACAUUCCUUUAUAUUGUUCCCAUAAAUCUCAACUCAUCAUAAAAGGAUUAAUAUUUCACUAGGUGGUUCCUUCCUGUUUAGUCAUAUUUUAUUAAGAUUUUCUUAAUGGUGUCCAGAAGUAAGAUUGGGGGCAACAAUAGUUUAGGUGUGCACCUGAGGAUGAGCCCUGAAGAACAGGUAUCUUUGUGGUGUCUUCUGAGAUCUGCUGCCACUCAAUCCUUCCCCAAAAUACCUCUGUCCUCUUUCUCUUCCUCCCAGGCAACUCUGGCUUCCUUUCAGCUUUGACCUUCCUUACAAAUACUUAUGAAGUCUAUGGAGUUAAGAGAAUGUCAAGGAAAAAGAGAAUAACUAGUUUUUUUCUUUCUUCUUCUUGUUUGUGUUAUUUUUGAGAGAAGAAGAAAAGUGUCUCAUACAGCCACCUUCAAAACAAAUACCUUCAAGGUUUAUGUUCUACAUUUAGAACAAAUGUAGUCUAUUUUUAUGUUUCACUAUCACAGUUAGAUGUGGAAUCACUACUGUUAUUUGUAUAUUUGUUUAACUCUUCUAUUCUAGAAGGCCCUUAGUGUCCAUCUGUACAUAGCAGUGCCUAUACCCACCACAAUUUUCAAAUCUAACGAUUUUUUUGUUUUUUAAAAGUAUGCCCCUGGCAAUCUAUGUUGAGUUAUACAGUAAUGCAUGUGAAUAUCUUCACCAAAAAUAUUUGGACAAUAUAGAAAUCUAUAAAACAAAAAUUGAAGUUCCCUUUUUAUCUUUUUUUUUUUUUUUUGUCUUUUUUUAGGGCCACACCCACAGCACAUGGAGGUCCCCAGGCUAGGGGUCCAAUUGGAGAUGUAGCUGGCCUAUGCCACAGCCACAGAAACACCAGAUCUGAGCCGCGUCUGCAACCUACACCACGGCUCACAGCAACGCCAGAUCCUUAACCCCCUGAGGAGGGCCAGGGAUCGAACCGGCAUCCUCAUGGAUCCAGUCAGACUCGUUUCCAUUGGUGCCACAAUGGGAAAUCCCCUUUCUUAUCUUAUCUGCCAUGUAUACACUCCUCUCCAGAGCCAAUAUUAUUAAAAAUACGUUGUGUACCUUUUUGAAGCUCUACUCUUUGGCACUUUUCUUUUUUGGCCACACCCAUGGAAUGCGGAAGUUCUUGGGCCUGGGAUUAACCCCCUGCCCUAGAAGUGGCCUAAGCCACAGCAAUGACAGAUACUUAGCUUACUGAGGCACCAAGGAACUCUAACUUCCGAACUUCUACACUUUUGUAUUAUGUAUAAUUUUUUAACAAAUCUAAGAUCCAAGGAAUGUGUACAUUGUUGUGUACAUCUGCAUGUCUGAGGUAUAGAUGCCCACGAGUGGCAUUAUCGGGGCAAAAGAUACACACAUUUAAAAUCUAUCUCAUUGCUAUCCAGAAGAGCUAUAAUAAGCUUCCUAUCAUGAAAAGAACAAUUUUCCACAUCCUUGUCAUAACUGGGUAUUAUAAAUUUGUUAAUUUUUUGUCAUUUUUAUUUUAGUUUGCAUUUCCCCAUCAUUACUGAAGUUGAACACAUUUUUUUCAUGUCUCUUGACCAUUUAUAUUUCUUUUCUAGAUAACCUUUCAUAUCUUUUGUCCAUUUUUCAAAUUUUGAUUGAUUUGUUGGAGCUCUUUAAAUAUACCAGAGAAAAAUUAUUUGUUUCCUAUGUUACAAAUAAUUCCUCCCAGUCCAUCACUCAAGUUUUCACCUUAAAUUCAUGUAACAGAAGGUUUUCAUUUUUACAUCAUUUUAUACUUGGACUUUUGGGUUUAGCAUGUUUAUUUGUUUAUUGUUUAAUUAAGAGAACCAAAGAACCCCACAAUUAUUUCUGGUAAAUGCUUCUGCCAAGAGUCUCUGCAUCCAGCCUUGCUUUCUUGGCUUUGGGGAUUAAGGAAAAUGAAACAAAACCUUAAUACCCCUGAAUCCCCAAGGUGGUGAGAGCAUUAUUACCCACAAGUCCUUUGUUAUUACUCAAAAUCUUGUCCAAGGGCUGGAAACCCUCACUCAUGCACAUUUUCCCCUUCAGUAGAGUUAUCAAAGUUGAGUUCUCCUUUGCUGACUAAAGGCUGUGGGGGCCAUUAUGCAGGUUAUAUACUUGCAGUGUCCAAAGUUAGGGAGAACUGAAAAUGGGAACUAGCCCUGACACAUUCUAGGAGACACUUAGGAUUUCCUUUUCUUUCCUUUUCUUUUUUCUUUCUUUUUCAUCUUCAAAAAUCAUCAUCACAAAACUGUGUUUUGGGAUGGAAAAUAGCAUUUCAUUAUUACUGAAGAUGUUAAAUAAAUUACAACCACAUUGAGUUAAUACAAGUUUUCCUUUCAUUUUUGUUUUCCACUUACAUAUCUUUCUCUAUUGGUUUUUCAAGCUUCUUUUACCAAAAAGCAUGCUGUUUUCAACUUGUGUUUUCCAAUCCUGUCUUCCAAGAACUGGGCGAUUUUUCAGUAUAUGCCUUGGAGACUUGACUCAAUUAUUAUGCCCUUCCCAUUGGUCAAGGUCUAAACUGACACAAAGGGCUUACAUCAUGCUAAUAUGACAGCUCAUUGCCUGCUCUCCUUUGUGGAGGAU